AACUUACAUACAGUAAUACCAUUGGGUUACCCCCUGGUCCCCUAUAUAAACAUACAUACAGUAAUAACAUUCGGUUACCCCUGGUCCCCAUAUAAACUUACAUACAAUAAUAACAUUCAGUUACCCCUGGUCCCCCAUAUAAACUUACAUACAGUAAUAACAUUGGGUAACCCCUGGUCCCCCAUAUAAACUUACAUACAGUAAUACCAUUGGGUUACCCCUGGUCCCCCAUAUAAACUUACAUACAGC
rnacentral:lncRNA from 1 species